ACGAACGCUGGCGGCGUGCCUAAUACAUGCAAGUCGAACGCUUCUUUUUCCAUCGGAGCUUGCUCCACCGGAAAAAGAGGAGUGGCGAACGGGUGAGUAACACGUGGGUAACCUGCCCAUCAGAAGGGGAUAACACUUGGAAACAGGUGCUAAUACCGUAUAACAAUCGAAACCGCAUGGUUUUGAUUUGAAAGGCGCUUUCGGGUGUCGCUGAUGGAUGGACCCGCGGUGCAUUAGCUAGUUGGUGAGGUAACGGCUCACCAAGGCGACGAUGCAUAGCCGACCUGAGAGGGUGAUCGGCCACAUUGGGACUGAGACACGGCCCAAACUCCUACGGGAGGCAGCAGUAGGGAAUCUUCGGCAAUGGACGAAAGUCUGACCGAGCAACGCCGCGUGAGUGAAGAAGGUUUUCGGAUCGUAAAACUCUGUUGUUAGAGAAGAACAAGGAUGAGAGUAACUGUUCAUCCCUUGACGGUAUCUAACCAGAAAGCCACGGCUAACUACGUGCCAGCAGCCGCGGUAAUACGUAGGUGGCAAGCGUUGUCCGGAUUUAUUGGGCGUAAAGCGAGCGCAGGCGGUUUCUUAAGUCUGAUGUGAAAGCCCCCGGCUCAACCGGGGAGGGUCAUUGGAAACUGGGAGACUUGAGUGCAGAAGAGGAGAGUGGAAUUCCAUGUGUAGCGGUGAAAUGCGUAGAUAUAUGGAGGAACACCAGUGGCGAAGGCGGCUCUCUGGUCUGUAACUGACGCUGAGGCUCGAAAGCGUGGGGAGCAAACAGGAUUAGAUACCCUGGUAGUCCACGCCGUAAACGAUGAGUGCUAAGUGUUGGAGGGUUUCCGCCCUUCAGUGCUGCAGCUAACGCAUUAAGCACUCCGCCUGGGGAGUACGACCGCAAGGUUGAAACUCAAAGGAAUUGACGGGGGCCCGCACAAGCGGUGGAGCAUGUGGUUUAAUUCGAAGCAACGCGAAGAACCUUACCAGGUCUUGACAUCCUUUGACCACUCUAGAGAUAGAGCUUCCCCUUCGGGGGCAAAGUGACAGGUGGUGCAUGGUUGUCGUCAGCUCGUGUCGUGAGAUGUUGGGUUAAGUCCCGCAACGAGCGCAACCCUUGCUAUUAGUUGCUACGCAAGAGCACUCUAAUAGGACUGCCGUUGACAAAACGGAGGAAGGUGGGGAUGACGUCAAAUCAUCAUGCCCCUUAUGACCUGGGCUACACACGUGCUACAAUGGGAAGUACAACGAGUCGCAAAGUCGCGAGGCUAAGCUAAUCUCUUAAAGCUUCUCUCAGUUCGGAUUGUAGGCUGCAACUCGCCUACAUGAAGCCGGAAUCGCUAGUAAUCGCGGAUCAGCACGCCGCGGUGAAUACGUUCCCGGGCCUUGUACACACCGCCCGUCACACCACGAGAGUUUGUAACACCCGAAGUCGGUGAGGUAACCUUUUGGAGCCAGCCGCCUAAGGUGGGAUAGAUGAUUGGGGUG
rnacentral:rRNA from 1 species